UAUAGUAGCCAUACCACUUUGCCAAUGCCAAAUAUCAUCAGAUCUCAUAAUCUAAGCAGUGUUGGGCUUCGUUAGUACUUGGAUGGGAGACCGCUGGAAAUGCCAGGUGACACAGUGG
rnacentral:rRNA from 1 species